CUUGCUUCUCCCCCAGCUCGCAUUUCCCCUCUCCCUGCUACGCUCUCCCGAUCCUCCUUAGGUCUUCGGAGACUUCAGCUGUGGGGAAACACUGACCCAUGAGAGGGCACACUGGAGCUGGAAAUAUGGCGCCUGCAGCUGUCGUUUGCAGCCUUGCUGUCAAGGGUGAAAGGGGAGCAGGCAAGAUGGCUCAGAAGCCUCUGGAAGUACCACGUGGCCACAUCACGUUGUGAACUCCCCUCCCCGCCCCCAACUGUACAUCUGUGAAGGCGUUGUAGGAGACGGCCUCUUCUCCCGUUCUUCUCUGGACUCUAGCUACGGGGGCGACAAAGAGCCCCUCAGCCCUGCCACUGUGGCUGCGGAGGAAUCCCGGCUCUGCCCGGCUGUUGAGAUCAGGCUAUGCCAUCCUCCAAGUUACUCCAUAUUGAAUCGAACAGACUUGUUGUUUUUCCAGAUGUGCCUUCCCCCAGGAGACUCCACUUUCUAAGCAGCUUUUGACUCUGUUUUGAGGGAGAAGGAAAAAAAUGCAACCCUGGUGGGCCCAGGAGCCGUCCGUCUGUCCUUCCAGCAGAGACUGUGAGUAGGAAGAGCCUGGGAGUAGGAAGUGAGCAUUCCCGCAGGUUUAUUAGGAAGAAUUGAAACCAUGCAUAUUAAAGUCAGGGAAAGGGGCAGCUCCUUUGCCUGGGCCUUGUAAUGUGACAGACACCAAACGCUGGUCAGCAUGGUCCCAUACCAACCUCCUCAUCUGAUACCUGGUGUGUGUAUGUCAAGGACCAAACGUUCCUUGACUUGGGUAGGUUCCCCUCCAAGCUGAUGCAGCCUACUUAACUGCCUGCCUCUGCCUUUUCUCCCAUCUGGGUCUAAACGGGACCCAUUCAUCCCCAGACCUGGUCUUUUUACCUCACGGCAGAACUCCAAAGCUUUGCUCUCAAGGCUGACUCCAGUUUCUGCCAGCAGCUCUCUCCUGGCUGGUCUGGCUUAUUCCCUUACCAACACAGACCCUCUGCCCACUUCCAGCCAUCCCGAACCCCACCUCAGGCUCUUUAGCUUGUAUUUAUUCGAUAACCCAUGCGUCUAUGUCUAUACAAAGAAAAAUAUAUUGACUCUGUGCUA